rnacentral:rRNA from 1 species
GACGAACGCUGGCGGCGUGCCUAAUACAUGCAAGUUGAGCGCUGAAGGUUGGUACUUGUACCAACUGGAUGAGCAGCGAACGGGUGAGUAACGCGUGGGGAAUCUGCCUUUGAGCGGGGGACAACAUUUGGAAACGAAUGCUAAUACCGCAUAAAAACUUUAAACACAAGUUUUAAGUUUGAAAGAUGCAAUUGCAUCACUCAAAGAUGAUCCCGCGUUGUAUUAGCUAGUUGGUGAGGUAAAGGCUCACCAAGGCGAAGAUACAUAGCCGAACUGAGAGGGUGGUCGGCCCCAUUUGGACUGAGACACGGCCCAAACUCCUACGGGAGGCAGCAGUAGGGAAUCUUCGGCAAUGGACGAAAGUCUGACCGAGCAACGCCGCGUGAGUGAAGAAGGUUUUCGGAUCGUAAAACUCUGUUGGUAGAGAAGAACGUUGGUGAGAGUGGAAAGCUCAUCAAGUGACGGUAACUACCCAGAAAGGGACGGCUAACUACGUG